rnacentral:piRNA from 1 species
UCUAAUAGUCGGCGCUCGAGAUUUGUGU